UACGUAGGAUCCGAGCGUUGUCCGGAAUCACUGGGUGUAAAGGGUGCGCAGGCGGAUUUGAACGUCAGAGGUUAAAUGUCACCGCUCAACGGUGAACCUGCCUUUGAAACGGCAAGUCUUGAGUAUGAGAGAGGUAAGUAGAAUUCCUGGUGUAGCGGUGAAAUGCGUAGAUAUCAGGAGGAAUACCAGUGGCGAAGGCGGCUUACUGGCUCAUAACUGACGCUCAGGCACGAAAGCGCGGGGAGCAAACAGG
rnacentral:rRNA from 1 species